GACACUUUGGCCGAGUGGUUAAGGCGGCAGACUCGAAUUACGUUCAAUCUGCUGGAGUUUCUCCGCAUAGGUUCAAAUCCUGUAGGUGUCG